rnacentral:tRNA from 1 species
GCGUCCGUAGCUCAGUUGGUAAGAGCUUUAUCUUGACGUGAUAAGGGUCGGUGGUUCAAAUCCACUCGGACGCA